UCAGCUGCUUCUCCGUUACUUCUUCCGGUGCAAGUCCGAGCUGUUGAGAGCGUCGACGGAGCGACUUCUUGGGACUGGCAAUGACGGAAUUUCGCACGGCCGCGAUGGUCUCUGGGGACUUUGAAACCGAUGCUGGCCUGCCGCUGCUGCCCCUGUGAGUAUUCAGGACUGAACCUGUUGUCUCAAAAUGGUUAACAAACCUUGCAAUGAGUUUGUUGCAGGGCAGAUCUCGAGUUUCCAUGUCACACUCGCGUCGAAGUCGGCGGCGGACGGUGACGUACGAUUUCGUCUCGAACCAUAAUCGGA